UAAAAGUUUUAUUCUGGCUUAAAAAUUUGGUAUUUGAUAAUUUUACAUGUAAGGUUAAUUUUAGAUAUUAGUUUGGCAGUAAAUAGAUUUAAUGAUUAAGGAAUCUUAGAAUUAGAUAUUCAUUAAAGUAUAGACUAAUCUUGUGCCAGCAGUUGCGGUUAGACAUGAUAUACUUCUAAAUUUGAUUCGGGUGAUAAUUAUCUAAUGAUUGUGGAACGGGAUCUGAUUGUAUAAGGUGAAAUUUUGUGAUUGGUUUAGUUCAUGUGGUGGUGAAAUAUUAUUAGAUUUUUUAAUGUAGACUAGGAUUAGAUACCCUAUUAUUGAAAAUAUAAAAUUGAACUCCUGAGAAGUAUUAGAUGUUCUUGAAAUUUAAAAAAUUUGGCGGUGUUUUAGUCUAUUCAGAGGAACCUGUCCUGUAAUUGAUAAUCCACGAUUAAUUGAACUUGUCUUUUUAGUUUGUAUAUCGUCGUUAUUUGAAUAUCUUUCAAGGGAGAAAUAUUCAGAAUUUAAGAUUUAAGUAUAAAUCAGAUCAAGGUGCAGCUUACAGAUAAGGAGAGAUGGGUUACAAUGAAUGUAUUUAUAUGGUUUAGAUAAUGAGAUUUUUCUAAUAAAUAGGAUUUGAUAGUAAAUUGGAUAAUUUAAUUUAUUUGACAAUAGCUCUAAAAUAUGCACAUAUCGCCCGUCGCUCCCGCCAUAAGGUUGGAUAAGUCGUAACAAAGUAGGUGUACCGGAAGGUGUACCUGGAAAGUC
rnacentral:ncRNA from 1 species